rnacentral:rRNA from 1 species
AUUGAACGCUGGCGGCAUGCUUUACACAUGCAAGUCGAACGGCAGCGCGGGCUUCGGCCUGGCGGCGAGUGGCGAACGGGUGAGUAAUGCAUCGGAACGUGCCCAGUAGUGGGGGAUAGCCCGGCGAAAGCCGGAUUAAUACCGCAUACGACCUGAGGGUGAAAGCGGGGGACCGAAAGGCCUCGCGCUAUUGGAGCGGCCGAUGUCGGAUUGGCUAGUUGGUGGGGUAAAGGCUUACCAAGGCGACGAUCCGUAGCUGGUCUGAGAGGACGACCAGCCACACUGGGACUGAGACACGGCCCAGACUCCUACGGGAGGCAGCAGUGGGGAAUUUUGGACAAUGGGGGCAAACCUGACCCAGCCAUGCCGAGUGCGGGAAGAAGGCCUUCGGGUUGUAAACCGCUUUUGUUCGGGAAGAAAUCCUCUGGGCUAAUACCCCGGGGGGAUGACGGUACCGGAAGAAUAAGCACCGGCUAACUACGCG